UGCAAAUGCACUCAGGCUUGCUCUCUCUCUCUCUCUCUCAAAAUAAAUAAACCUUAAAAAAACAAAGAAUAUGUAACUUUCCUGAAGGCUAAGAAAUUUCUCUCCCUAAAUUGCUUAAUGCUAUAACUUUCUCAGGAAUUGCUGCUCAAUAAAUCAGCUGAUUUGACUUUGUCCUUUUUUGUACUGAAGUAUAAUCUGCAAUAGUAAACGGCACUGAUCUCAAGUAUACAGUUUGUUGAGUUUUGAUAAAUGUAUGCACGCGUAACCUAUCUUCCUGCCAACAUGUAGGACGUUUGCAUGUUGACUGGAUUUUGAUUCCUUCAUGACUGCGUUACUGAAAACCCACUAUUUUCCCCCAUGUAAUAGGCCAUAAAUUCAAGUAAGAUCCUUGGACCAGAUCAAACAUUAUUUAUGUAGGAUCACUGCCAGAUUUUUUUUACUUAAAAGGGAUUUCGUGAAUCUGACAGUCUCACCGUAAAAGCAACAACAAAUACUGCAAUGGUAUUCCAACAGACGUCGGGCUUCAGAGAAGUACGAGGCACACUCCCUGUACUCGAGGUACUUGAUGCCUAAUGAGGAAAACAGAAAACAAACAACAAGUGUCCAUCCAAAGUACUCCAACUAGGGCGGUGAGCAAAUAAAUAAAUAAGCAUCCCUGACACAACAACUUGCCAAUGACAUUAUCCAGUUGGUGGACAUUAGCCAGAUGUCUUGGGUCAGAAUCGUGGACAAAGACCGUCACCUGAAGUUUCACUCAACAACACUCAAUAACAGCGCAUGAUUAUUACAUAUUAAAAAUCAAGAGGCUCCCAAAGACACUUAGUGACUGACAGCUUCAUCUCCCAGGCUUUUUAAAGUUCAUCAUGCAAACACAGACAGUGUGAAACAGUUAGUCUAAUUAAGCAUUUUCCUUAUCCUCCCCCAGCAGAACUGCGUUUGAGAUAAAGGAUAAUGGCACUAAAUGAACAGGUUAAUUAGAGACAGCAUUUACCCCCGCAGGCCCUUCACUGGAAACACCAUUUCACACCAUUACAUCACACAGGAGAGCCAGGCUCCAGGGACCAGCUCCUGAGACAGCCAGUGACCGGCAGAGAACGUAGCAAGCAGUAGAAAGGGAAAUCAUGUUGGCAUACCCAGUGGUGGCUCAGCCAGGAUGGCCCCCCAUAUUUCUCUAGGGCGUGAGCCCGCCAACUAGAGCUGCAGGCCAAAUCCACCCGGCGAUCACGUUUUGUAUAGCCCGUAAGGUUAGUCUCUGCAUUUUUAAGGUGUUGUUUAAAAAAACAGAAAAAGAGAAAAGAAAUCAAGAAAGAACGUAUGGCAGAAACCUGCGCG